rnacentral:rRNA from 1 species
UACGGAGGAUGCGAGCGUUAUCCGGAUUUAUUGGGUUUAAAGGGUGCGUAGGUGGAUUGGUAAAUCAGUGGUGAAAGUUUGCAGCUUAACUGUAAAAGUGACUUCGAAACUGGUUUCCUUGAGUGUAGAUGAAGUAGGAGGAAUUUGUGGUGUAGCGGUGAAAUGCUUAGAUAUCACGAGGAACUCCGAUUGCGCAGGCAGCUUACUAAACCACUACUGACGCUCGGGCACGAAGGCGUGGGGAUCAAACAGGAUUAGAUACCCUGGUAGUCCCU